GAAAUCCUUCUUUUUAUCAAUUCUACAGGUGAAUGAAUUAAGGUGAGACUAAUCUGAAGUCAGAAUGUCUGGCUUUUACUUCUCAUAUUUUGAAAGGAAAAUUCUAAUUUUUAUUUAUAAAAGAUAAAAUACUACUAUAUAGCUAAAGCAGCUUAAGUCCAAAUACUGAAAGAAGCUGAUCUUUAUUACCAAAACUCUGAAACCACUAGUACUUACAUUCAAACUGACUGAACUAAUAUUCAUGCAAUUAAAAACUGGUGUUGACACCAUUGAUCUAUACUUUGGAAGUAUUUUUCUUUUUUAGUGGUGGUAGUUCAUUUAAGAGUCUACCUCAUGCCAGACAUAGCAACAUUAUUUCAGUAAUAUUAACAAAGAGAAAACUGAUAGUAUACUUUAUAACAUAUAUUUACUACUGUUAUUAUUU
rnacentral:lncRNA from 1 species